UACGAAGGGGGCUAGCGUUGCUCGGAAUGACUGGGCGUAAAGGGCGCGUAGGCGGAUGGCACAGUCAGAUGUGAAAUUCCCGGGCUUAACCUGGGGGCUGCAUUUGAUACGUGUUGUCUAGAGUGAGGAAGAGGGUCGUGGAAUUCCCAGUGUAGAGGUGAAAUUCGUAGAUAUUGGGAAGAACACCGGUGGCGAAGGCGGCGACCUGGUCCUUGACUGACGCUGAGGCACGAAAGCGUGGGGAGCAAACAGG
rnacentral:rRNA from 1 species